rnacentral:rRNA from 1 species
GACCAGACUCCUACGGGAGGCAGCAGUGGGGAAUAUUGCACAAUGGGGGAAACCCUGAUGCAGCGACGCCGCGUGAGUGAAGAAGUAUUUCGGUAUGUAAAGCUCUCUCAGCAGGGAAGAAAAUGACGGUACCUGACUAAGAAGCCCCGGCUAACUACGUGCCAGCAGCCGCGGUAAUACGUAGGGGGCAAGCGUUAUCCGGAUUUACUGGGUGUAAAGGGAGCGUAGACGGCAUGGCAAGUCAGAUGUGAAAGCCCGGGGCUCAACCCCGGGACUGCAUUUGAAACUGUCAGGCUGGAGUGCAGGAGAGGUAAGUGGAAUUCCUAGUGUAGCGGUGAAAUGCGUAGAUAUUAGGAGGAACACCAGUGGCGAAGGCGGCUUACUGGACUGUAACUGACGUUGAGGCUCGAAAGCGUGGGGAGCAAACAGGAUUAGAUACCCUAGUACG